AUCUCGUAUACGACGCCGUUGAAGCGCCGUUCGUGUCUUGCUGGAAACGAAACGAUUUCUAUUGUCGCAGCUAAAGGCGGCGAGUGUGGGAUCAACGUAAGUCGCCGUUGAAGCCCAUCUCUUCUCGUUUGCGUGAUUCAUUGCAAAGUUCUGCCAAGAAUGGGUUCCAACAACAAGCAGACUGAUGAGAAACUACCAAUCAACCCAGCAUCAAGAGUCACAUUCUGCCAAAGAAAGAAGUCUGGGAAUGGGAGCUUCGUGUCUAGUUUAAGAAAUCACUUUCAUGAAUUUAUUCAUGCUUCUGUCGAUGAACACAAGACAUGCUUGAGAAACACAAUUCAAAAGAUAUUUAAUGCGUCAAAGGUAUUUGGAAAAAGUGGGGACAGCCCAAAUGAAGGUGAAAACUCUGUAUCCCUUCCGUCAUCUGCAAGGAACUAGAAGGCUUUUCUUUAAUCACCAGUGAUCAGUGGGGUCGGAAGAAAGUUUAUAAUAUAUAACCUAUGACCUUAAAUAUCUUGCUGUUUAAUUGUAAGAAAUGGUUAAUUACUUGGAAUCGAUGAACUUUUAUUCUUCACUACUGCCUCAUAACGCUUGAUUUUACUGGAUUAUAGUGAUAA